UGAACUGCACUUCAGAUAUGGAGAUCAACCCUUUGAGAAUUAAGAUCUCAUCUUUGCAAACAACUGAAAAGAAUGACACGGUUGCCGGGCAAGGUGAGCGGGACCAUCUCAUCACUAAGCGGGAUCUUGCCCUCAGUGAAGGAGAUAUUCACACUUUGGGUUGUGGAGUUGCUCAGUGCUUGAAGAUUGUCUGCCAAGUUGGGAGAUUAGACAGAGGAAAGAGUGCAAUCUUGUACGUAAAGUCAUUACUGUGGACUGAGACUUUUAUGAAUAAAGAAAAUCAGAAUCAUUCCUAUUCUCUGAAGUCGUCUGCUUCAUUUAAUGUCAUAGAGUUUCCUUAUAAGAAUCUUCCAAUUGAGGAUAUCACCAACUCCACAUUGGUAAGUCAUUGGUUUAGGCAAAUAGAAUAAAUUUACUCAAUUCAAAUGCUGUACAUGUUUUUAUUUUGUUUUUUAAAGAACGACAGCUUAACUUUUUUGAUAAUUUAAACUAAUGAAGUUAUAUGAUAGCAUUAUAACCUAGUUUAAUAUUAUCAUUUUACUCCUUACCCCGAAGUGAUUAAAGCUAGACCUUUUAGUUUAGCAUCUUGUCCAGUGUAAGAGAUUUCUUAGUAUAUACUAAAUUAUAUUGGAGAAAUUUUAGGAAUUUUCGUUUACAAAGUUAGAAAGUUGGAAAUUAACUGCAACAAGUGAGGCAUUUUGAAGAUAUUUAAGGAGUAAAAAUGGGAUCAGCACAU
rnacentral:lncRNA from 1 species